rnacentral:lncRNA from 1 species
UCCCAUUAAUGACCCAUUAAUGACCCCCACUGAUCCCAUUAAUGACCCCAUUAAUUUCCCCCAUUAAUGACCCUAUUAAUGUCCCCCAUUAACGACCCCAUGAAGGACCCCAUUAAUUUGCCCCAUUAAUGACCCUAUCAAUGACCCCAUUAAUUUCUCCAUUAACGACCCCAUUAAUGACCUCCACUGACCCCAUUAAUGACCCCAUUAAUGACCCCAUUAAUGACCCCAUUAACGACCCCAUUAAUGACCCCAUUAAUGACCCCAUUAACGACCCCAUUAAUGUCCCCCACUGAUCCCAUUAAUGAUCCUAUUAAUUUCCCCCAUUAAUGACC